UACGUAGGUGGCGAGUGUUAUUCGGAUUUACUGGGCGUAAAGGGUUCGUAGGGGGCGCGUUAAGUCCGGUGUGAAAGCCUGCGGCUCAACCGCAGAACGUCACUGGAUACUAACGUGCUAGAGGGCCGGAGAGGAGAGUGGAAUUCCUGGUGUAGCGGUGGAAUGCAUAGAUAUCAGGAGGAACACCAAUGGCGAAAGCAGCUCUCUGGACGGCUCCUGACCCUGAGUAACGAAAGUUGGGGUAGCAAACAGGAUUAGAUACCCUGGUAGUCCCAACUGUAAACGUUGUGCACUCGGUGUGGGGGGAUUUGGUCCCCUCCGCGCCUUAGCUAACGCGUUAAGUGCACCGCCUGGGGAGUACGGCCGCAAGGCUAAA
rnacentral:rRNA from 1 species